GUUCCUACGGGGGGCAGCAGGGAAUAUUGCUCAAUGGGGGAAACCCUGAAGCAGCAACGCCGCGUGGAGGAUGAAGGUUUUCGGAUUGUAAACUCCUUUUGUUAGAGAAGAUAAUGACGGUAUCUAACGAAUAAGCACCGGCUAACUCCGUGCCAGCAGCCGCGGUAAUACGGAGGGUGCAAGGGUUACUCGGAAUCACUGGGCGUAAAGAGCGCGUAGGCGGGAUAGCAAGUCAGAUGUGAAAUCCUAUGGCUUAAACAUAGAACUGCAUUUGACACCGUUAUUCUAGAGG
rnacentral:rRNA from 1 species